GGGCAUCUCACUGGAGAUCCCUGCAUACCUGAGGCCUUCUAAAGUCUCCAUCAGAACAGCAAGGGAUAUCUGAGAAGAAGCACUCUCUUCCCAUGAGGCUGAGUUCUGUCUGGCAGCGCUCCUAUCCUGUGCGGCACUCGGAGUGGUGCUGCAGGUGGGGCUGAGAUGGCUCUGACUGCUGUGGGGUCAGAAGGUCCUGGCCAAGUGAUGCUUCAAACUUUUCCCCACUGCCCUCUCUGCAGAACUGUGCUUAUCGUGUUUCAGACAUCACGUUGAUUGGAACAGUGCCCAGGGAGCAGCACUGCAUCAGAUAUGAGUUUCCCCAGCUGGUGCCUACUUAGCUCUGAGAUCCAGCUCCCCCUCACUGCCCGUAGCCCUGAGCCUGCUCCAGACCCAUUUUGAUCUCAAAGCAUUAACCUUCCUGCAAGGGACCCAACCCAAGUUUUACAGCCUCCUCCCCAGGUUCAUACUUUACUUGUGGUGGUUCAGCUCCACACCAGCUACUGGGCUUCCCCUGGGCAGCAGCCUGCUUGCCACCCGCUGAGCUGGACAGGCUGCAGUGCUUUGCUGAACAUUAAUCAAGGCCAGCGGUGUUGUGCAAUUUACUGGAAGUUACUCUUUCCUCCAACCCUUCUCAGAGGAUGAAAGGCACCGGACGUCUCCUGGUGGGUGAUAGAGGGAGCAGAAGAGCCCACCCCGCAGCCAUGGGCUCUGUGCGGGGUCCCAGCACCACAGCUGACGUGCGUGAGGGCAGACUGGGUUGUGUUCCUUCUUCACUUGCAGGUCUGCACAGCCAGGAGCAUCUACGGAUAGCUUUAACAGAACAGCUCUGCUGGAAACAUUGCCUUCACUUUCACGUAUUUCCUUUAAGGUUUUGUUCUAUUUUUAGGAGGUUCCCAAUGCUCGCCAGCUGCCUUUGACUCCACAAGAAAAGCUGAAUGAACACAAUUUUCCACUUCUAUUGUCUCUCCUUGCUAAAUGCUGCUGCUGUUCUCAGACUUUUAUGACUGUGCAGCUGCUAUUCCACGCACAGUGCAGCUCCUGGCCCCGCUAUUAUACUUCUGGCGAGAAAACAUCAGGUUUUUAUGGAAACAACAAAAAAAAAAGCAAGCGUGCAAGAGAGAACCUGGACCUGAGUUAACACUGGGGGCCUUAUUCCUGGGGGUAGAAGCCCAGCAAAAUGGCUGGGCUCCAAAACUUCUUGGCUACUGCACUGCACACGCAAUGCUUUCCUGUCCACCUCUCCGUGUCCUCCCCACUCCUUUCCCUUUAGACCCUUUCUGACCUCUUUGAAUGGAUUUGGUCUCUGUCAGUUGAUAUUCUGUACGUUGCAUGAGAGGCCCUGUGGAGUCCUGCGGCUACAACAGGUACGGUAUUGUAGAAGAACUCUGGCUUUCUUCCAUGCGUUGCCCUGGUGGGUUCCUGCAGCCCUGGGGCUGAUGGGUAUGGCUUUAGGGAAAUGCUGGGGGGAUCCCAGAACUGCUGGAACCCGAAGAAGGAAAACUGCUUGGAUAAAAUGGGGAUUUUAUUCAUUGUAAGUAUUAGAGAUUAACUGUGUGGGAUGGAUUUCCUCACCCUGGAAUAAGGCUGUGAUGAAUGCAGGCAGGAUUGGAGCUCAGCAGAGGUUUCCUUGUGCACAGGUGUCCCUUGGGUGGUAGUUGGACUCAGUGGUCAUAGAGGUCUUUUCCAACCUUCAUGAUUCUGUAAUCCUAUCCCUACUUCACCUAUAGAGAAGAGGAGCCCUUGAGCCCAUGUAUGCCCUGAGGACAAAAUUGUGCCCAUAGCUGAGAGUUCUGCUCAAGCCACAUGAGAUUUCCCUGCUUCUCCAGGCUGGGACUCAGUACAACAUCUCAGCAAAGCAGCGGCAUCCGUGGGGAGAUAGGAAAACAAAGUGAUGAUCUGCUUUCUAAUUGCCUGCUAGCCUUUCCUACCUCCCUGCCCACACCCUCCUGCAAUCUGGUGAUUAACUUAAUUACAGCUGCAGCUCCUGGAGCCGGCCCAGCCUGGGAGGAGGAGCGGUGCCAGGAGGGUCUCACUCCCUGCAGCCUGCCUGGGCUCGGACCAGGAACAUGGAGGUGGCUGUGAGCAGUGCUGGCUGUAGAUGCAGAUCCAAUUGUCUCAUGUGUGGGAUUUAAUUGUUAAUCCCAGUGCACACCAGAUGUGUGGGACCUGGUGUGUGGAAAGAAUACUUUGGACAGAGAAGAACAAGGGCUCAGUUUCUCCAGCAAAGGGUGAGGGUGAAGGGAGAGAAGUUUUGCACACAGAGCAUCAAAGGAGGAAAGUAUAAAGGACAAUGGAGUUCUCUACUGUGGGUAGGGGCAGUGCUGAGGGAGGAAGGGACUCCUCUCCUGGCAGGUCCCCGUGGCUGAGCUACAGUGCUCACUUUCCCACACUGGUGCUCAAUGUUCUAAAGCAGCUCUGACUUGCAGUGGUUUUUAAGAAGCCCCUGGAGCUGACAGCUGGGCUCUGUGCCCCUCUUCCUGCCGUGGGUCUGGGUGUGCUCUGCUGCCUGGAGAAAGCAGCAGAGGAGGCCUGCAGGGCUGCUGCAGAGCAGGACAGGUAAUGCAGGAGGGAGGGCAGCUGCAGUUCUGGAGUACUGGAGGUGAGGCUGGGUGAUGCUGCCCAGCUCACAAAUGUCACUGCUCCCCCUGCCACCCACAGCUGCUGUCCCUGUGAAAUGUCAGACCGCAGAGCAGGGAGUGCUGAGGCUGUCUGGGCUCAGGUGUGGCUGCCCCAUGGCUGCUGGCUCCCACCCCACACACCCACAGACAGACAGGCGGACAGACAGCAGUGCCAGCCCUGGGCAGGCUGCUCACGGCUUCCUUCUACUGCUCUCCUUACGCUGCUUUCCUCCAGCCCUUCUGCAUCUCGCUCUCCCAUCCCAGGUCUGCCCAGAAAAGCCAUUUGCCUGACACCAAAUGACAGAAUCUUGCCCCCCAGAUCUUGCACUAUGCUAUGCCCUCAUGCCAAAGGGAUAAUGUGGUUCUUCUCUUGCGUUGCUUGGGGUGGGGCCAAGCAUACCUCCAUGAUUCCAGGUACGGGCCUUAUUGGUGCCCCCUCCAUCACCCUGCUGUUUGCUGCCAGCUAUGCCAAGCUCUCAUCACCCACACAAAUCCAGAACACUGGUGUGCUGCUGCUAAUGAGGCAUGUGGCUUAAGUGAGGAGUGAACUGCAGGAAUUUGCCUAUGCUGUCAGAUGGGAUGCUUCCUUCAGCUGCCUCUGUGAAGAGCAGCCCAGCUCAACCAAGGGAUGGCUUUGGCUUCAAAAUGGGGAUUUGAUUUUGGGUUCAGACUUGUGCUGUGUCCUUCACCAGAGAAGCAAAGGAUGCCUGGAACUGAAGGUUUCAUCUCCAGGCCAAGUGAAACUCCACAUCCAUACCCGUGGUUAACCGUCAGUAGACACAUCAUCACUCAGAAAUCAAGCCUCAGUCUGUGCUGUUCCAAGGAAAAUCACUUGGUCUCUGGGUUCACCAUAAGCUCAGCAGUGAUUUACUACCAUAAAAACGCAAGGGCAGUUAAUUAUCUUCAUUUCAAACUCAUUGUAUGAUGACAAUAUGGCUUGUCAAGUUAAGUUCUGAGAAGAGCUGCCUGGAAGAGUUCUGCUCUGAGUUCUGCUGCUUAACAUCUCUAACUGCAGCGUCCAGUAGCGAUGGGUGCCCAAGUAAACAGCUUGGGCUGUGUUUUGCCAUGGAUGCUGUUGCUCAGUAACUUAACAGUGCAACAAUUGCUGGAGAUAAUAAUCGCUAUUACCGGGAAAAUCCUCCAAUAAAUAAUAAUUUUCUUAUCUGCGUGACUUGAGAGCUGGAGGAAUGCCAUAGUGUGUGAAACCACAGUGCAUGAGAACGUGCAAGGAGUGUUCCAAAGGAAAGAUCCUUCUGCUCUGUUGGAGCAGGGCAAGCUCAGAGCUGACCCUCUAUACAUGUGGUUGAGAGGCUCUACAGGAUAAUCCUAACAGAUUAAUUAAUGGGGGAUAAUGAACCGCUGCAUUCAGCCGGUGAGCAGGAACCUCCAUGUAUUUCCUGCUGUUGUAGAGCAAGAUAUGGGGAUGGAUCAGUGGUUGGACUCAGAUAAUCUCAGAGGUCUUUUCCAACCUGAGUGAUUCUAUGGUAUGUUGCUUCUUUGGCAUGCAGUCUUUGAGCAGAAUUUUGGGGGCUCUCAGUUCAGAACAGCCCACUGGGUGCCCAGGUGUCCAUGUGCCACCCUCAUUUCCAGUCAGAGGAGCACAGCUGACACAUGGGACGUGUCAGCCCUUGGCAGAAGACCCAGACAGUAGCACACGAGGCACCUGUGAAUGGAAGAGCUGGGCACCAAUUUGUCCCCGUGAGACGUCUGCACGGCUGGCGAUGACCGCAGCACCAAGGAAAACAGCCCUGCCCCGGCGCUGCUGCUCUCCCUAGCACAGCGUGGAGACAGCUGUGGUUUCUGACAGCCCGUCUGCCCUGUCUGAUCCCUGCAAACACCAGCAGCCACAACAGCGCAGCGCAGGAGAGACAGCUGCAAUUACAAACAUCUGAUGGAACCGAGCGCUUCGUGGAGCGCUGCCACCAGGUGCCACCCACGUGGGCUAUUUGCAGCCUGGCCUGGCCAGAAGGCACGGGGACAUCUGUGAGCUGGUGGUGGCCCGGCCCCGGGACACCUGCACGGGGUGAGGGGACACCACGGUGCCAUGCUGGCCCUCAGAGAAGACCCAGCAUAGCUGUGGUGGUGACAGAAGGUGGGGAUGUCCCAGAUCUUCAAGCCCACUGAACUGAGCCAAAAAAAAUCAAAAGCAGUAUGAAUCCUACAGAAAUUUAAGAAUAAUUUGUAUGCAGCCUUCCCCUUGGAAACCUGCCUGGCCUGGGACACAAACAAUCCUGUAUCAACACAGCUUUGGGCACAGGAAAGGGCUCAUCCAAGCAACGCCAGUCCCAAACCACCCGAUGCCGCCUGCCCUGUGCCCACAUGUAUCCUGAUGGCUGCAGUUCCCCAACGUGAGAGCCACCACCCGCAGCACUGACCCCACAGCGCUCCUCUGCCCCCAUCAGCUCCAUUCAGAACUUAAAUAUAAAGGGAGAUGGACGUCCCAAUGGAGAACGCGCCCAUCUGAGCGCUCCUGUCUGCAAGGCGCGCCGCUAUGAGCGAACACAACGCAGAGCUCACCCAGUGCAGUGCAGGCUCUGAGUUGUGGUGGUGAAGAUCUCCCCCUCCUGUCCGCCUGGAGCGCGGGGCUGGGAGCGAGGAGGGGAAUGCUGGGCUGGGGGCUGCUGCCCUGUGCUCACCCCAACCGCGGGGCCUGCGGGUGCUGCAGGGCUGGGGUCAGUGCUGGAGCACUGCGCACCUGGUGUAGAAAUAGAAGCUGAGGCAGAAAGAAGGACACUGCGGGGACUCACCCAGAGGUGGGACCGUCUGCCUGCUAAUGCCAGAGGCGUGGGAAGAAAAGUCCCAAGGUUAAGGCUGACGCCCAGAUUUCUCCUCUCGGAGCACGGCUCUAAAUUAAGAAGUGGGAACAAAUGUUCUGAGCACCAGAAGGCUGUGAGUCACGCACGGCCCUGCGUCUAGACUGCUGUGGGCAAAGAGCAAACCUUAGGGAGGGCAACGCCACACCAGGAUGAGUCUGAGGAGACCGAUGGCUUGGGGAUGUCACCCUGCAGGUCAGCAGACAGCCCCUCUCUGCAGCAGCCCUGGGAGGAAAAUCUCUUUUCUGCCUCUUUUCUGAUUCUCGGCCUUCCCAGGGCUGCACAGUGCUGUCUCGUGCAUUUGGGUUACGGGGACCACAGCCGGAAAAUUGCCAUUUUGUGGUUGGUUUGACCUGCAGCCACCUGCCAGCAGCACCUCCCCACCUUGGGGAAGGGCUGAACUAACGGGAAGGUGAGGAACGUCCUGGGAGGAGCAGUUCAAAGCAUUUCUGUGGCUUCUCCUGCCCGUGUUCUGCAGCAGGGCUGUAUGGAUGGGAAGGGCUUGCUGCUGUCGUGCUCUCUCCCUCCGUGUGAUGGGAUUCCUUUCAUGCCACUCAGUUUUCCUGCUUUCUUCCAUGACUGUGUGUGCCACCGUGUGUCUGUAACAGGCAACUUUAAUCCCCUCUGCUCUCCUCUCACUUUAUCUGUGCCCCUGCUGGCAGCCCUCCGCUGGGUGCAGUUUCUCAGGGUGAUUUUAUUCCUCUUCAGGUGCCUCUGUCUCAUCCUGGGGAGGGCUCAGGACAGUUUGGAAAAGAACAGAACAGAGGGGCUGUGCUGAAAGCCCAGGUCUGAAAAUCCAGACAAUUAUCAGCCCUUUUCUGCCCCUUUGAGCAGCUGGGGAAAGAAACCAUUCUGUUAUAUGAGCUUUAGGAAAGAGAAGGGCCUGGUGCUAACUGCGUGUCCGGAGCUCCCUGCACCCUGCACACAGUGCCCGCAGCCUGCAGCCAUCCUGCCGUCCUGCACUGGGGCACUGCUCUGCAGGGCUGCAGGAUCCGCUGCUGUCUGCCCCCGCAGCAUUAACAGAGGGGACACAGAUGUUGGAUGCAAGGUAAAAAGCACUGACUGCUCUUACUGAGGAACACUGAGUCAGGCUGCUCUCUUGUUUAACGAGUGGAGAGGAAGGGAGAAUUGUUGCAUUCAUUCAGGCUGCGCUGCACACUGGGGCAGAGAUAACAUGACAGAGCAGCGGUGCCUCUCUCUCUUGCUAAACUGGUUUUCAGCGAAUUCUUCUGCAGUUUUCUAUUGUGAGUGGCUUAAAAAGCAGAGCCAGCCAGGCCUGCAGCACAGGCGAUAAUCAGCGGCGCGCAGUUACACAAAAUGAAUGUGGGAUUUCUAAAGCUGGCCCAGCCGUGAGCCUUAGCAGCCCCUGUGCUGUGCCAGAGGGCAGUGCCAGCUGUGCCCCUCCUCCCUGCACUCCCAGACAGGUGCUGCAGGACACAGCACGAGUGCUGGCGUGCCCCGUACCACACCUGGGCGGGGGUUUCUCUGUCAGUCCAUCAGUGCCCCAGGACCUAUCAGUCCUCAGUGCAUUUCGGGUGCAGUGUGUUCCUGUGAAGGAGCUGGGAUCUGCAGGUGGGAGGGGAUCCCCAUGCUUUCAGCCCUGCAGGUCUGCCUGAGUACAAUGGCACUGCUGGUAUUCUGCUUGUGAAACCCAGCCAAGGCUUUACCCAGUCCUCUCGGGUUGCAGGCUGGAGGUGGUCUGACCUAUGGCUAAAGACCAUCUUUUGGGUUGAUCUGUGGCUAAGGACCAUCUUUCUCCACUGUUCUUUGCAACCUCUUAUUCCCGAGCCCUCAUUCAGAGAGGUGUCUAUUCUUCUCAUCUAAACUCCUGCCAUUUUGAGGGUCAUGAAAUUAAGGACGAUUAAAGAGGGUUGUUUAAUGCAGGAGGCAAAUGCUGUUGGCAUUACUGCAGUGGUGCUCCUGGAGUUGCAGACAGGAAGGAGCAGCUCCUGCAGCAGGUGGUGCUGCAGUGAGGCAGAGGUCGCUGUGCACCAUGGCAGCUUUGCUCUGGUGCAGGUGGCAUCUACUGCCUCUGCAGGGGGAGGUGGCACCGGGCACAUGGGAAGGGCCUGAGGAACACACGGCCCUGCUGAGGCACAGCCUGGGAUGCUCGGAGAGCAUGAGCUGGGGACUGAUGUCAGCACCCACCAACAGUUAUUGCCCCAUCACAGGGAAAGUGGGUGAUGAUCUCCUCAUUGAAAAGUUGCAAUUUUCUCUAAUGAAUCCCCUAAAGUGAGGCUUAUUUCCUGCAGAAAUGGGCCUGUUUGUGGCUCUGGAUUGCAAUGUCUCCUGAAAAUCCUUUUUCCUGCCUCCUCCCACAGACUGUCAUGCAGCUAUGGACUUCUUGAGAAAUGGAUGGAAGCAUUUGCCAUUUGGUUACCCAACCACGGCACUAAGGGCCUCGUGCAGCCCCACGAGCUGCUGGAAAUGGGGCUGAAAGGGGAUUGCUUCCUGCAGGAAGCCAGAACACUGCUUCUCCCACGAGCUCUGGAAUUUUCCCUGCGAUGGGUGCACACAGCGUGUGCAUGGGAGUGGAAAAUGCAGAUGUGCACCAGCAGCACUGCUGGGGCUGCACAGAGAAAUACCCACUCCAGGUGAGCCAUGCUCUGUGUCACAGCUCUUCCAGGAGGAAAAUCCCCAUCUUUCUCACCGAGGGAAGAAAAGGACCUUUCUAAUGGCUGAGCUCUUUCAUUUAUCUUCACCAUCGUUAUUAUUUAUUUUCUGACUUGGCAUCAGAAGAGAAAGCAAAUAUUCAAAAGGAUCAGAUUUUGAUCUGCUCUGUGAAUGCAUCAUCAGAAGUACAUUGAAACAAGAGGAGGCAGACUGAGAUGAACCUGCAGGGCUGCUAUCCCUAUGGCUGGCACUGUGAACUGUAUCUGCUGCCCAUGCCAGACCAAAGAAGCCCAAUACAAAGAAAAUACACCCUCAGCUCUGAUCGCCCUGCCUGGGCACACCGGGUGCUGUGCACCUCCUCCAUGCUCCCCCCCUUGCUGCUCCCCACUGUAUUUGUGAGCAUUUUAGCUUGCUCAUGCCAGUUGGCACAGAGGAAAAUUCAUAUAAAGCAAGUGCAGAGAGAGCUGAGCACCAACACUGCUGUAAUGGGAGAUGCAGCCCCAGGGCUGGGGAAGCAGUGGCAGCAGCAGAGCCGCAUCACUGCUGGGGAAACAGCACGGAAGGUGCCGUUGUGGCCAGCUGUGUGAUGAGCUGCUGGGGUGGGGGGAAGACCGAGGUCUUGGGAGUGGGAGGAAGGCCAGACUCAUUCGGGGAGCUCGGGAGGGGAGGGGGAGGCUCUCUCCCCUGGGCAGGGUGGGGCUGGAAGGGGAGGUUAUCCAAAGGGCUGGGGCUGGCUGAGGCCACCCUGGACCCGAACUGCGGUCAGCCCCAACCCAAGUCUGUUCUGCACACUGAGCAGUGUCCAGAGGGAGCUGUGCUGACCCCGUUUUGCAGGGAGAACAUUAAGGCAUUGUGCUGCUUAUCACUGCCAAGCCAAGUGCUGCAAUUGGGAACCAAUUAAAGUCCAGACUCGUGUUUGUGCAUGCAGAGCUUCCCUGUGGCUCAGGCAGUUGCUGUUGGGUCACCGGGGAUCUGGGUCCAACUGCCACCCAUCACUGUGUCACCAACAGCACGUGGGGCAAUGGGACCUGGGGCUCUGCCCAGGACAUUUCUACUAAGGAAAUUAUUAUUAAUUUUUUUUUUCUACUUUUAUUGUUUUAAACCAUUUUUUCUAGUGCCACAUUGCUUAAACAAAUUUCCUAUUUGGGAUAGUCCUAAUAUUAGGUUUUGCAAAAUAAAACAUUUAAAACAUUUGGAUUCAAAUUCAGAUACAAUUUUCAAGCCACAGCUUCCAGUUAAUUUGCAGUCAUUUUGAAACUGCAAUGAAACUCACAUUGUUUUGAACCCCUCCAUUCUCCCAGUGGCAGCAGCCCAAUGACACCUGCAAGGUUUGGGGGGUUUUGGCCCAUUUAGGCGAGGAAAUAGCACAUCCAAAAUCCUAUUGUCUCUGCAGAAGGAACCUGCCUCCUCUUCCCCCCUCCUGGCCCACGUGUGCCCUUGUGGAGCCCCCUCAGGCCCUGCUCCGGUCCCCACAUCCCACGGGGGUGUGAGCAUCAGGUGGGGAACCCCAGCUAGGAGCACACUGACAGCGCCUGAGCACCCGGGCCCCUCCCCGCCCUUCCGUACCGCGCCCGUGGCUUCGGGGGAUGCUUCUGGUGCUGCCCGGUUCCAAGGGCAUGUCCUCUGCACGCCGCCUGGAAACACACCCCGCACGGCGGCGGCUGUCCUGCGGCAGGGCUGGCACGAGGAGGCAGAUCUGCUUACCGCUCCCAUUCCCCGGAGGCUGGAUGUGCUGAGAUGUGCUGUGCGGUGGGAGGGCACCUCGGCGCAGUGACCUUGGAUGGGCAAAUGCACCUGUAAAAACAGCAGAGGUGGUGAGGAGAGGUUGGUCCUCCUGCUCCCACACUGCAGGCAGCUGCAUGUCCCCAGGAAGUGCGCAUCUGGGCACCCCCACAUCUAUACUGCUACCCCUGCAUCUCUGUACACCCACACAUCUGUACACCUGCACAUCUGGACUACUGCACCAUUGGCUCUGACGUCUCCAUGCAGGGCUCCAUAGCAUAUGGAAGCACAUAGGGCAGGUAUGAGGGUUUCGUUGAUUUUCCCCUUUCCCUUGGCCAAUCUGGUGCAAUUUGGUGCUCACUGCAGUAACUCCAGCCCACACUGCUCACCAGGUGCACGUGGAGCUGUCCUGGG